rnacentral:rRNA from 1 species
GUGGGUAGUUUGACUGGGGCGGUCUCCUCCCAAAGAGUAACGGAGGAGCACGAAGGUUGGCUAAUCCUGGUCGGACAUCAGGAGGUUAGUGCAAUGGCAUAAGCCAGCUUGACUGCGAGCGUGACGGCGCGAGCAGGUGCGAAAGCAGGUCAUAGUGAUCCGGUGGUUCUGAAUGGAAGGGCCAUCGCUCAACGGAUAAAAGGUACUCCGGGGAUAACAGGCUGAUACCGCCCAAGAGUUCAUAUCGACGGCGGUGUUUGGCACCUCGAUGUCGGCUCAUCACAUCCUGGGGCUGAAGUAGGUCCCAAGGGUAUGGCUGUUCGCCAUUUAAAGUGGUACGCGAGCUGGGUUUAGAACGUCGUGAGACAGUUCGGUCCCUAUCUGCCGUGGGCGCUGGAGAAUUGAGGGGGGCUGCUCCUAGUACGAGAGGACCGGAGUGGACGCAUCACUGGUGUUCGGGUUGUCAUGCCAAUGGCACUGCCCGGUAGCUAAAUGCGGAAGAGAUAAGUGCUGAAAGCAUCUAAGCACGAAACUUGCCCCGAGAUGAGUUCUCCCUGAGACUUUAAGUCUCCUGAAGGAACGUUAAAGACGAUGACGUUGAUAGGUCGGGUGUGUAAGCGCAGCGAUGCGUUGAGCUAACCGAUACUAAUGAACCGUGAGGCUUAACCUU